GGACAUGGCUUAGUUGUAGAACAUUUCCUUGGAAUGCAGAAGGUCCCAGGUUCGAUCCCUGGCAUCUCCA
rnacentral:tRNA from 1 species